GAUAAAGUCAAACAAGGCUUUUGGGAAGAAUUUGAGACACUACAACAACAGGAGUGCAAACUUCUCUACAGCCGAAAAGAGGGUCAAAGGCAAGAAAACAAAAACAAAAAUAGAUAUAAAAACAUCCUGCCCUGUAAGUAUCAAUAUUCCGCUCAGUAAUAGUCACUCUUGGAGAUUUUGAUUCCUAGCACCUCUGUACCUUUCCUCAGGGUCGUGUGCUCUUGUUAGCACAUCGGAGGCCUUAGCUUCUUUAAUUGCAAGCAGUUUCCAAAAUAAUCAACCAUGGUGGGUGUUGAUGACUUCAUUCACUGAGCUCCCGUGAUGCUGAUUACUGAGUAAAGUUGCCACUAGGUGGCUUUGUCUGUGGUUGGUUCCUUCUGUUAAUUAAUUUUCUGUCUGCCCAAGAUAGAUCAUCUCAAGUGUUGGGAUUACAGGUGUGAACCACUGUGUCUGGCUAUAUCUUCUGUAACACCCAAAUGCCACCAGGCAAAGCCCAAGUUGAACCAGGAGGGAAAAAGGCCUGGCAGGAUGUAGGCCUUGCAUGAGGAUCUCAGAAACUGCACUAAACCAGUCACAGUUCCUCUCUCCCGAGGUCUAACUCUAUGCUGAACUCUUUGCAUUUUUAUCUCACUUAAUCCAUAUCACAUGCACAGGAAGGAAGCAUUCGUAGUAUCCUGGUUUCCUAGACCAUUUUAGCAAGGUUAUAAGUGAAGGGGAGUGGGUGGGAGAACUGGCACUAGAGCCCCCAAAGUCACUGUUCUUAGCACCACUCUAAUGCAUGGGGUUCUCCAUUGAUGUGCUAUGCAAGGCAGUGCACUGAGGAGAAAGGAAGGAACAUUUACAACUUCUCUUUAUUUAUAUCCUGUCC
rnacentral:lncRNA from 1 species